rnacentral:rRNA from 1 species
CGGUCAUCGAUGGGGAUGCGUUCCAUUAGCUUGUUGGCGGGGUAACGGCCCACCAAGGCAUCGAUGGAUAGGGGUUCUGAGAGGAAGGUCCCCCACAUUGGAACUGAGACACGGUCCAAACUCCUACGGGAGGCAGCAGUGAGGAAUAUUGGUCAAUGGGCGCUAGCCUGAACCAGCCAAGUAGCGUGAAGGAUGACUGCCCUAUGGGUUGUAAACUUCUUUUAUAUGGGAAUAAAGUGCAGUAUGUAUACUGCUUUGCAUGUACCUUAUGAAUAAGGAUCGGCUAACUCCGUGCCAGCAGCCGCGGUAAUACGGAGGAUCCGAGCGUUAUCCGGAUUUAUUGGGUUUAAAGGGAGCGUAGGCGGGUUGUUAAGUCAGUUGUGAAAGUUUGCGGCUCAACCGUAAAAUUGCAGUUGAUACUGGCAUCCUUGAGUACAGUAGAGGUAGGCGGAAUUCGUGGUGUAGCGGUGAAAUGCUUAGAUAUCACGAAGAACUCCGAUUGCGAAGGCAGCCUGCUGGACUGUAACUGACGCUGAUGCUCGAAAGUGUGGGUAUCAAACAGGAUUAGAUACCCUGGUAGUCCACACAGUAAACGAUGAAUACUCGCUGUUUGCGAUAUACAGUAAGCGGC